rnacentral:lncRNA from 1 species
CAAUGAUAGAGGUCGGACAUGAAUUUUUUUACUGAAACUGCUAAUUUAGAUGUUUAUUUCGUCAAAUUUUAAAUAUUGAGGAGUAAUUCUACCAAAAAAAAAAAAAAAAAAAAAAAAAAAAAAAAAAAAAAAAAAAACACGAGAAAACCAAUGGGGACCAUUUUAAGACCUCAAAAUUUUGUCAAAACGGAGUUAUGAACUUCCAAGUUUCCAAACCUCCAACCUCUCCUGUUGACUCGAUCCACUGUCCGGCCGCACGCAGUGUAUCGAGUCAAUUAGACAGGUCGGGCAUGACAUUUUUUACUAAAACUGCAAAUGUCGAUGAUUAUUUCGUCACAUUUUAAAUUUGGAGGGGUGCUUUACGAAGAAAACUUUACGAAGAAACCAACGGAGCCACCUUUAGAACUGCAAAGUUUUGUGUAAACGGAGUCAUAAGCUUUUAAAGUUUCCAAAUUUUGUCCUUGACUCGAUCCACUGUGCGGUGGCCUGAGACUUACGGCUGCGUUACGGCUUGGCGGUUGAGGGAUUGCGUCAAGUUUCCGUCGGUUCCCUUACGUUACGUCGCGGUGCGAGGCGUCGCGUCGCGUCGACUAGCGGUACCGCUACCGUUGACACCCCUCACCUUCCCGGUACCCAGCAAGACCGGCGUCUUUCCUGGCGCUCGGUGCCCACUCAUUGUCAGUUGCUGCAUAAACAUAGCAUCAUCCGGUCCGAUCCUCGGUGCCGCGCAUUUCUAACGGACCUUCCCGCGUACUAGAAAGUCGAAACCCAUUCGAAUUGUACACGAACCGGUUCAAAUUUCUACUGGUGCUUGGUGCGGAUGUUGGAGUUCUGAAGAUCAAUCGUUUAUCUGAGCACAGGUGAAUCUGUGCAGAACAGCUUGCCGGUACUGCCGGUGCAGUUGCAGUUGCCGCUUCGUUCGUACGCCAAGCGCGAUUCCGCUCGUUAGCGAAGGUUAAAGGCGUGCUCGAGUCUGCGUGGCGAUAAGGUAGUGCGGAAUUAGUGGAAUCAGUGCGCGAGUGCGCGUCCUCUCUGUGUCAUCCGGUGAAUCCAAUCCAAUCGGAAGAUGAUGAAGUCGGUGCCGAGGUGGCCGGUCGUAGCCGUGGCCCUCCUUGCACUCUACCUCUCCAUGUGGCCGAGCAAAGACGAGCCCCAGUUCCCGCUCGACCACACAGCCAAUAUGACCACCGAGGAAAACAUCAGAUUUUAUGGAUACCCUACGAAAAACAUCUGGUGCAAACAGAGGAUGGGUACAUUUUAAGCCUGAUCCGAUUUCCACGGCGAACCUCGGAAAAACUCCCGGUACUGAUAGUACACGGUUUCAUGGCCUGCUCCACCUCAUGGGUUGCCAUGGGCCCGAAGGAAGCCUUGGUGAGUCCGUCCUUGGAAUCCCGGCAUGAAUUUAGAAAUAUGCAUGCAUAUUAAUUUCCAUGAAUUUUGGGUAUAAAACUUC